UACGUAGGGUGCAGGCGUUAAUCGGAAUUACUGGGCGUAAAGCGUGCGCAGGCGGUUUCUUAAGUCAGAUGUGAAAGCCCCGGGCUUAACCUGGGAACUGCGUUUGAAACUGGGAGACUUGAGUGUGGCAGAGGGGGGUGGAAUUCCACGUGUAGCAGUGAAAUGCGUAGAUAUGUGGAGGAACACCGAUGGCGAAGGCAAUCCCCUGGACCUGUACUGACGCUCAUGCACGAAAGCGUGGGGAGCAAACAGG
rnacentral:rRNA from 1 species